UACGUAGGGGGCUAGCGUUGUCCGGAAUCAUUGGGCGUAAAGCGCGUGUAGGCGGCCCGGUAAGUCCGCUGUGAAAACUCGAGGCUCAACCUCGAGAUGUCGGCGGAAACUGUCUGGCUAGAGUCCGGAAGAGGAGAGUGGAAUUCCUGGUGUAGCGGUGAAAUGCGCAGAUAUCAGGAAGAACACCUAUGGCGAAGGCAGCUCUCUGGGACGGUACUGACGCUGAGGUGCGAAAGCGUGGGGAGCAAACAGG
rnacentral:rRNA from 1 species